GAUCAUCAUCUUUUCCUCCACUAAACUCUUUGGCGCCCGUCUUCAGUAUUUCCUUCAUUGGAUCACCAUGCGAUACAUUCAGAGUUUGAACAGGAAGGGUAGGAAUUGUUGGUUGAGCCGAAUUAUUCUGUGCUUGUGGGGGUGGUGGUCAAGCGACACCCAUGAAACGAUCAAACCAUCUCCCUAUCAUAUCUAACAGUGCAUCUCAAACGUCGGCCUGAUCAUCACCUUGAUCCCCUGAUGAACGAGGACCACUACAUUGGUGGAGGGGAGCAUUACUUUCUAUCUCUUCAUCUAUUGCAUAUCUCAAACUAAAUGAAAUCAGAGAUAACUAUACAACACAAAACCCAAUUAAUAAUUUUUAACAUUAACCGAAUU
rnacentral:lncRNA from 1 species